rnacentral:rRNA from 1 species
GACGAACGCUGGCGGCGUGCUUAACACAUGCAAGUCGAACGGAAAGGCCCCUUUAGGGGUACUCGAGUGGCGAACGGGUGAGUAACACGUGAGUAACCUGCCCUUGACUUCGGGAUAACUUCAGGAAACUGGGGCUAAUACCGGAUAGGAAUCCUUGCUGCAUGGUGGGGGUUGGAAAGCUUCGGCGGUUUUGGAUGGACUCGCGGCUUAUCAGCUUGUUGGUGGGGUAGUGGCUUACCAAGGCUUUGACGGGUAGCCGGCCUGAGAGGGCGACCGGCCACAUUGGGACUGAGAUACGGCCCAGACUCCUACGGGAGGCAGCAGUGGGGAAGAUUGCACAAGGGGCGGAAGCCUGAUGCAGCAACGCCGCGUGCGGGAUGACGGCCUUCGGGUUGUAAACCGCUUUCAGCAGGGGCGAAGCUUGUGGUGACGGUACCUGCAGAAGAAGCACCGGCUAACUACGUG